GCGUUCAUUAAGCCUGUAUAGAUAAAAACCAACUCAUUACUGACGCUAUUGUAGCUCUUUUGAAGGUCUAAACGCAUUACAAAAAGCAACAAUUAAUCAUCUCGAUGAAGCCUCUGGUUAGUCCUGGAUUAGCUAAGGCUUGUACUGGUCUAUCGCUUAUUGGAAUAGUAUUUCUGUUGGUACUGUCUUAUCUGUUUUCCAUAGAAGCAGAAACAUUGAUGCAUGAUUUGGUUGGAAGUGGCCUUACUGGAAAACAAGUUGCUAAAACCUGCCUUGGUGCUGUGGUUAUCUAUGCUGUUUUCUUCUUGUUCUGUGGAUCUCAAGUUAUAGUCUCACGCUACCAAAAACCAGUUCGUAUCUAAUAUUUCUUAAUUACGUACAUGAACAGCGGUUUUCAUUGUUAAAUUUUAGAAUCUAAAUAGUAUGUAUUCUUUUUACCUUCAGAAUCCCUUCUUUCUUCCUAAAUGCUGAGGACCGCGACAAAAUAGCUUUAGUUACAAAGUCAGCAGACAUUUUGCUAAGUUAAAUAAUAAUUUUUUUUCUGCUUACAUU
rnacentral:misc_RNA from 1 species